UAUGUAGAAGAAAGUUUUCAUUUGCAAAAUGAAGAAGUUCUACUGAUGUGUAUUGGAAUCUCCUCAGGGAUUGGGCGAUUGGUUUUUGGCAGGGUUGCAGACUACUUAGCUGGCUCAAAUAAAGUUUUCCUUCAGGUGGCAUCAUUCUUUGUGAUCGGGCUGAUGUCCAUGAUGAUUCCACUCUGUCAAGGCUUUGGUGGUCUCAUUGCAGUCUGCCUUUUUAUGGGUUUAUUUGACGGAUGUUUCAUCUCAAUCAUGGCCCCUGUUGCCUUUGAGCUUGUGGGUUCAGAGAAUGUAUCCCAGGCGAUUGGAUUCCUUCUCGGAUUGAUGUCCAUUCCAAUGACAGCUGGCCCACCAAUUGCAGGUUUUCUGCGUGACUCUCUGGGAACAUACAAUCUUGCCUUCUACCUUGCUGGUGUGCCGCCAAUGGUUGGAGGAGCAGUCCUCUGCAUCAUCCCGUGGAUCCAGUACAAGAAACACAAAAGACAAAAAAAGCAAACGGCAUUGGAGGGAGAAACAGUAAGAAAGAUACUGGAUCAGGAUUCAAAGAACAUUCUAGUGCCUGGCAGUGGUGAGCCACACACAGAAUGCGUAUCUAGUAUUUAAUAACAAAUUCCACUGAACAGACAGAUGGCAAUUCAGGUCUUACAAAUGAAUCUCUUUUUUUUCAAUCAGUGAAUGAUUUGUUUUGUUGUCGCAAUGAACUACAGCAGUUGUGAAGAAUUCCCAAAGGGGAAAAACAGAAAAAUUAAACCAUAGAAGUGAAUUUGGAGUCUACCAGAGAGAUUGUUUUUCUCCUUGUGCUGCAUUUCAUGUAUGUUAAAGUAUUUGUUAUACUAGUUUAUUUUAGAUCAUCUUUCUGAAAUUGAAAUAAUCCAAGUUUAUUUUCCUGUAAUGCCACAGCUGAUCCAGCUAGACAUUUAGCUUCUUUCAGAAAUAUCAAGGAAAGACCAAAAAAUAGUUGCACCACAAACAAUUUUCACUUGACUAUUAGAAUAUUUCAUGUUACCCCUCUCUACUGCAUGUACACAAUCUCCUUACAAAGAGCUAAUCUUACCUGGAGGUGUUUUCUAAGCUUUGCAAAUGAACAUAAAUUUCCCUAAUGUCUCACUUUAUAAAGAUCUACAAAUUUAGAAUGCUAAUUCUGACUGUACACAUUAGAAAUACACAGAGCCUCAAAUUGUUUCCUUAUUUCUGAUGCUCUAGGAUGACCAAAAGUUCUUGAAUUUACUCUGUUAUCUAUGACAAAUCUAUGAUCCACGGAAGAUUAGAUGCUAAACCUAUCCUGCUCCAGCCACAAAUAAAACAAUGCUGGAGAAACCCGUUUAUUCCAUAGAACAAAGGUCCGUUUAUUCCAUAGAAAAGUCACAUUGUUAACUCCACUUUUGCCUCCGCAGAUGUGCCCAGACUUGCUGAGCUUCUCCAGCGUUCUGCGUUUGUUUCGGAUUUCCAGUGUCUGCUGUAUUUUACUUGUAAUGGACUGCCUUGGCCACAAUAGUUUGUCUAUCUAUCACAGGCAAUGCAUCCCUGUCACCUAAAGAGGGAGAUGAUCGAAAGCUCUAUGAAAGAGGCAGGUUACAAAAGAAGAAACCAAAGUGGGGAGGUUCAGUGAGAGAAUUCUAGAGCUGAAAAUGCGGCUACAAAUUGUGGAGCAAGCAAAACUGAUUACAUUUGAGAAGCCAGAACUGUAGGGUGCAGAUAUUUUAAGGAAUAUUUUGUGUGUUUUACAGGAUAGAAACCAUCAAGGUACACAGGCCUGCAUUAGGCAAAUAUUGUCAAUUCUGUAGCUUGAUGUUUCAGAUAAUAUAAAAUUUACUUGCUAUCUAUUCAGUUCACUGCCAGUUAUCUUGAUUAUAUGGUAUUUUUUAUUUUGGCUUGUGUGCAGCUUUGUAUUGUAGUGUGGAAGUAGGCCUUCUCUGCCUAGCAGGCAAUGAGAACACAGGAAGUUUAUUCGAGAGUGCGAGGUUUGGUGGUGACAGUUCUGGUCCUAGAAACCAGCAUCAUGUUGGGCACUAUCGUGUUUCUGACUGGGACACUGGAGCCCCAAAUGGAGCAGAACCUGCAAAUCAUCCACCACUGCUUUGGCAGUACCUAGAGCUGUAUAAUAAUGAAUCCGUUCUGUCAUGAGACUACAGAGGCAAUCUGCCUAAUUAAAAUGAAGUUUUGCAAACAGCGGGCAGAAUCUUAUUGAGGCCUGAACAACAUGACCCAUGGUGAGAUUUAUGGUAGAAUCCCCUGGGAAAUCUGUUGAGGCCUGUCUUUAAUGUCAGUACCAUUUGAAGGCAUUAUUUAUGCUUUUGUCAAAUUUCCAACUAGAUGGUGGUGAGGUGCCAAUUAAGGGGAUUAUUACUUGUUAAACACACAUUUAUGGUCCAAUCUGCCUCAUUUAAUGUGGUUGGCUCUUAACUGCCCUCUGGGCAAUUAGGGAUGGCCAAUAAAUGCUGGCCUCACCAGAGAGGACUACAUCUCUUGAGGGAAUAAAAAUAUUAAUAUUCUGCUCCCUCUUACCAAAUACGCCAGCCAUGCUAGACACAAAUCUCGACAGAGUUCAGAGCGAUGACUUAAUGGACUUCAGCUGUUGCUAAGCAUUGAACAGCAUCUCGGUCACAUUCCAUGAGCACCAGUCGCACAUUCCCCUUGUCCACAAAAAGUUUGCAUCCAACAUAUGCCACCAGUUUAUGACCACCAUGGCACCUCUGAUACAGUUGCAGGAUUGUUAUGAAACACAUAGCUGCAUUGUGGAGGGCCCUGGUAUCUUGCACUGAAGGGUCCUUGCAGGAGCCUUUUGUGCACAGGGUCAAGCACCCAGCUGACAGACUGGACCAUGCUGCAUCUAAGGGCUUCUCACCUUCCCUCCUGGUGCUUGCUUACUUUGCCAGUAACUGCAUGCUGACCCCUUCCACGCCUUGCCUUGCUGUGUCAGAGAGUGCAGUUACAGUAGCAGGCAGUUUGCCUUACUGAUCAGUAACCCUCCCUUAAGGAGACCUACUGAUCGUUGUACGACACUGUGCUGCGUCACACACUCACCUUCGCCAUGUGUCAGUCAAAGACAGCUCCUGAGACCAGUCCUGGGGAUUAGCCACAGACAAGGUGUCUGGUUGGUGGGGUCCCUGCCUCCAGGUCUCUGGGGAAUCAUGAAACCAUUUUCUCCUUUUCCAACGUGACUCCACCCUUGACCAAACAGAGCAACUUUGGAAUGCCAGUGCUCAUCUGCUCAUCCAGGUGCUUAGCAGCCUUUUCAAUAUGCCAUGGAUGCUGGUCUUCAAGAUGCAGCAAGUGGCAUGUUGUUCUACAAAUAGCUUGUGAUAAGAUGGGGAUAGAAUUGGAUGUGAAAGCCACAGUAGGAACAAGGUAGGUAGUUAAAUGAGGCAUUUUUGGUAAGGUGUAAGAGUCCCUCCAAAAAUAAAUUAACCAUCUCUUAGCCGAAACAUUGUGAAGAAUCAGCCCUUUGUUUUGCCAAUUCAAGACAAUCUUAAAGAAAUACGACCACGUUACUGCUAUGAUGUCAAAAAAUAUUAAGUAGGAAUUAAUUAUAUUAUUUGUAUUCAAUCCACUGUGUUGUAUAAUAUUGGUUAAAAUCAGAGUCAAACAGCCUGCUCCUAAAUCCUGUAUUCCAAUGUAACUUCCUUCAGUCUUUAAUUGUUCAGAAUAAGUUCAGUGUGAAUUAAUGCUGUCAAUAACAAGUUUGAUCACAAUUGCUAUCGUAUCUGCCCUUCAUCCCCCACCCCUUUUACUGCUUUACUAAGUAGAUAUUAUGUUUUAAAUCUUAUGAGUAGGCUUCAUGUUAUUCGUGAACUUGUUUCUCCAACAUGUUCCACGGCUAAACAGUCCUCCAAGAUUACUCAGUUUAUAGACUACCUCGUUUAAUUUUACAAUGCUGCUUGCAGCAAAGUGACAAUACCAAAGUUGAAAGGAAUUAAAAAGUAUUGUUGUGGAAAACCUUUUGAGUUUAAAUUAAAACGUUAAGGCAGCAAGUGAGAAAAUUGCCCAAUAUUUUCAUCUGGACAGGCGUCAAUCUAGAAUAUUCAAAUGGCCUGAUGCUAGGUGACCAAAAUUUUUUCUCUACUGUUGCACAAACUGUUUGGGUAGGAACGGAGUAGGAAGAGAAAAGAAAUGGGUACGAUGAAAACUGACCUCCAAGUGUAAAGUUCACUUAGUGAAAAAUAUAUCUUAACCAUAGAAUUUUAACACAUUUGGGGGAAGAAAACUUUGAAAGCAUGUGAAGUUAGAUUUAAGUUGGGGUGUUAGGUCAUGUCUGUUUUCCAAUUCAAUAAUGUGCCAGGUAUUUUGCAAAAGUGGUAUUGUCCAGUUCUGUCGUUUCAUCAGCAGUAUUGUAACAGGGUGUGUUUUGUUUUGCCAGUCAUUCCCUACUGUUAAAGUGCUUGUGAUUAGUCUUGUGUACAUUUAAGACUGAAAUCUAUUGCAUUAUAGAUCACACAACACUAAGUGAAAGUCACAAUCAGAGUUACAUUUUUCCGCACAUUUGCCCCAUAGGAGAUAAUUCAAUUCUACUUCAAUAGAAAAUGUUAUUUGUUCUAAUAAUAAGUACACAGAUGAAAGGAAUGGAGUGGAUCUCUCAAGUUUCUGUAAUACACUGGCAAUUUACUUCAGUAAGGAAGAUUACUUGCCCAAUAUCGUUGAUUUUUUUCUGCAGCUCAUUUAAGUUAUAUGUUCAUUAAAUCCUGCAACCUAAGUUUGUAUCUAACAUACUUUAAAUACACAUUUGCACCCAUGGUUACAGAAUAGAUUGUUUCAAUAUUGUCAGGUAGAUGGCAAUGUUUGGUUUUUCUCCCCGCAGCUGAAGUCUGAAUCUAACUUAAUCUAUAAUGUUUUAACGAGGUCAGUUAUAUGUCGAGGGAUGUGGAACCAUUAGCUCAAUGGCUUAUUAAUCUGGAUGUUUCUGUCAGUCUGAAUGAACAAAUGCCACUGAAGAACCUCUUUCAUUUCUCCUUGCCCUUUCAUUGGGUGAAGUUCAUUGACACUUCAGCAGCAGGUUGCCAGUCAAUUUUUGGCUUAUUUUUGUUUUGAGGAGAUUUCAGUGAUUCCAAUAUGUUGAUUCCCAUCUGCUCAAGGAUGUUAAAUCAGGUAUGAGUAUUGACGGGGAUUGAUUCCAUUGCAGUAUGGGGAUCUUGUGCUCCGAGUAUUCAGAUUAUGGUUCAUAGUGUCGCAGUUUUUCAUUGAGUUUUUAUAAGUCUGAAAACUGUUACCUCUUAAUCCUAUGGCAGCCCAGAAAUGAAAAUCAGUGGGGGAGAAAAAUGAUGACUUUGGAAAAGAACGUAUUGUCACUUUGGGUCACCAUCUCAAUAGGCAUCUCUUGGUGCACUGGUGUUGUCUAUACCUUAGAGUCUGGAGGCCUCAGCUCAAGUCCUAUCUGCUCCAGAGGUUUGUCAAAACACAUUUGAGCAGGUUGGUUAAAAAUAUCUACCUGUCCCCGUUUUAGUUUUUUUUUUCCUGAGAUUAUUUAGAAGAAUGUUUUCCACCUAGGUUGAUCGAUGAAGAGCUGCAGACCUAAGGAAACAUGGGCUAAGCCAAAUCUCUUUUUUUUAAACCUUCCUGCAGCUUACUCUUUGCACAAUGUUCAAUGUGUGUGGUAAUUCUGUGCAAUAUACUUACUCUUUCCAAUGCUAAACAACUGGUACACAGCUGAUAUGAAUUCCAUUCUGACUAGCCUCAAAAUUAGCUUGAUAUUAAAAUACUCACCAUUCUUUUCUUUGAAAGCCCUGAAUUCAGUGCAAUUUUUAAAAAAGUAUAAAAAUGUACAACUAAACUGUCAGUUUUAGCUGGCCAAUCCUGUAUAAAAUUUUUCUGUCUCCACUAGUUGGCUGCCAGGUGGUGUCUGACUGAAGGAAAUACUCCAAGGAUUUUGUAAGACCUACAAGAAAUAAGAACAGAAGGGCCCAGUUAAAUCUGGUACAUUAUCAGCCAGUAAUAUCAUGGCUGCCAUAAAUGUAGUCUAUCCUCCAUAACUUGUGACCCCUUACAGCAAAAGGUUUUCUAACUCAACCGUGAAUACAUUUGAUGACACAGCCUCCUCUCGUUUCUGGGGCAGAUAAUUGCAAAGAUUAACAACCCUCUGAGAGAACAAAUUCAUCCUUACUUCUGUCUUAGAUUGGAGGUUGUUUGUUUUAAAAUUGUAUCCCUACCUCUAUAAUUCCCAUCCUCCAAAAUGGACCUAUGCUGUUGGCAUCUACCCUGUCAACACCCCUCAAGACAACGCUUUAGUUUUAGGAAAGUUCCGGUAAGCCUUCUCUGGCUCCCGAUGCGGGUAUAUAAAUACUCCUUCAUGUAAGGAGACCAAGGCUGGACCAGGUCUGGUCUUACCCAUAUCCUGUACAACUAUAGCAAGACUCUCCAACUUUUAAACCCUAUUUCCCUUUCCAUUAAAGGACAACAUUCCGUUUGUCAUCCCAGCUAAUUGCUGUACCUAUAUAUUGUUUGUGAUUCAUAUACAAGGACACUUUGAUCCCUCUGUAUUCAAGUAUUCACCAGUCUCUGUCAAUGUAAAUAAUAUUCUGCUUUUCUAUUCUUUCUGUCAGUGAUCUGGUUUACAUUUUGCCGCAAUGUACUCCAUCUAACAAUUUCUUUCACUCGCUGAGCCUAUCUAUAUCCCUUUGUCUCUUCAUAGCUUUUAAAUCUAACUGUUUUAUCAGCAAAUUUGGCUGUAGUACACUUGGCACAUUCAUCCAAGUUGUUAAUACAGAUUGUAAAAUAUGUCACCUGAGGCCAUGUGAAUGGGCAGCAUAACAAGGACAUUUUCCAUCUGAGGACAUUUUUCUCAGCCUCAGGCACUCCAGCCUAAUGCCGACUUGCACCAUGCAUGAUUCCAUCUGUGCCAUAUGACAGUGUCACUCCUAGUUUAUGGUAAAUCCCUGCAAUCGCUUUAGUUACUUUAAGAUUUGUUUUAUGUGCCUGUUAUCUUUGAAAUGAAAAAAAAUACAGUUUCUGACUUGUUGCUGAUGAAAUUUGGUUAUUCAAUUGUCAAAAUACUUUACAGUAUAAACCACCCCUGCAGACCAUGUAACUUGCUUAGAUCAAUUUAAUACAAUCCCAUUGCAGCUGAUUGGCAGUUUCUAAAGAACAAGCUUGACACCAGCUGCAGCAGCAUGUACCACCCAACUACAGUCUACACUCGAAACAAAUGGCCAUUGUGGUCAUAAAUUCUGCAUUACCAGUAAUACCUUCAAUUGUAAAAGCAUGUCAGUGCCUUGUAUUUUUUCCCCUAAUGUGAGUUUUACUGCAGUGAAUAAUUACCUUAAAUCAAAGUUUUUUUUGGGGCAAGGAAAACAUGUUUAUGAAUUGUUAUUUUUCAGAUAUAGUUCAUGAAGAAACAAAUUCAGAUUUCAAUUUUUAUAAUAUUCCAGAUUAUUUAAAAAUACAUGUGACUCAACUCCUGAGGGAUUGAAGGAACUGAUAACUAACAAAGUUUGUGUUGUCCCAUGGCCUCUAUUCAAUAUGAAUGGAGAAGGCAUGAGAAAAAUAUGUUGGAAUUAUUGUUGAUUAAUGUGGUUCCACAGGAUUAGAAAACUAAGAGCAUAUAUUUGUGGUCAGAAAAGGGACAAAUCCAUACUUGGCAAUUGCGAUUCCAUUGGCCUAACAUCAGUAACUGGUGGAAAUGAUAAAAAUUAUUAAAGCAUAGCCAUGCCUUCAAACAGAAGCAGCCUGCUGGAUAUUCAGAGUGGGAGUAUCCUUUCAAAUUCAUUCCUCCUUCUUCAUACAGAAUUAGAAAAGAUCUUCAGUAACAUUGUUUGUAGUAAGUCAGAGGGUAGCUCUAUUUUACAACCAAAUGUAGCUCAGUGUGGGAAUAAUACUGCUGCAAAGGCAACAUUAAGGUUCACUUUAAAGCACAUCAUGGAGUGGCUAUGAUUUGCCACAUUCUGUGCUUAGUUAGAGAUAUGGAGCUGUACAACACGAAAACAGACCCUUCGGUCCAAAUCGUCCAUGCCCAACCAGAUAUCUGAAAUAAGUCUAGUCCCAUUUGCCAGCAUUUGGCUCAUAUCCCUCUGAACCCUUCCUAUUCACAUACCUGUCCAGAUGCAUUUUAAAUGUUGUAAUUGUACCAGCCCCCACCACUUCCUCUGGUGGAAAAAGUUGCCCCUUCGAUCCCUUUUAAAUCUUUCCCCCUUCAUCUUAGUGUGUAAUUUAUUUGUAGACUGGCAGCAGUGAUAUACUGACUGUUUUACAUCUAAAGUGAAAGUCUGAGAGACGCUGAAUAACAAAAUUUUACUUUCAUGCAUUUCGAGUCCAAUUUCUAACUAUUAUCUAUUUGGGCUUUCAGAAAAUACACUGAGGGUGACUGUCUAGAAUGAACUUUAUUUUUUCCCAAAUAUUUGAAAUGAUGAAAUCUUAGUCAAUUAAGUAAGAGAAAGAGAUAGGGUUUAGAUUCCUGGCUUAAAUCUUAAUCACUGGAAGGAUUUAAAUCCUGGCUUCCAUUCAGCAGACAAGUGAUAAAUGAAAUUUCAGUGUUUGAAAAAUGCAGUCCACUGCAUAACUGGGCAAAGGAAAAGUGACAUUAGCUUACAACAAUAAAAAGAUUUUAAGGGAGAUUGUCAAAAAGAGUGACAGCAGAAUGUAGGUGAUAUUCCCAGGAUGUUUGACCAGGUGGACAUGAAAGGGUGAAACUGCAAGAGGCUAAGUUCUCCUAUCUUUUACUGUCCUAAUGUUCUUCGUAGGUCCAUAGUUCGGUAGGAAGAAAUGUGAUUGCACUGAACUAGAAGUGGUGUUUAAACCUGUCUGUUUGCAUUGGGAAGACUGUGUGCCUCGUUCACUGUUAUUGUAGUAUAUAUGAAUUAUUCUGCCAAAGAGUAUUGGCUAGAUGAUUUUAUUUUGGGAAUAUUACCAGACUGUAUAUAGGCUUCUGUGCACAAAAGAAAACUGAUGAAUGCAAGGGAUUAUCUCCAGAGAGUAGAGAUGCUCUGCAAUUUUAUAGUGAAACAAAUUUCAGGUCUGACAAUUCAGGGUCUCCGUUGUGAUAUCAUCAGUCAUUCAUGAGCAUUAAAGGCAGUACAAUGAAUGGCUAGGAUCAGCAAUUGUAUGUUGUAGUAACUUCUUCCUACUUUAUAACUGGUCAUUAUUGAAACAGUUGACUUUUAUAAAGAGAUAGUGGGAACUGCCGAUGCUGGAGAAUCUACAAUAAUACGGUGAAGCUGGAUGAACACAGCAGGCCAGGCAGCAUCAGAGGAACAGGAAAGUUGAUGUUUUGGAUUGAAGGGUCUCUACCCCAAAUGUCAACUUUCCUACUCCUCUGAUGCUGCUUGGCCUGCUGCGUGCAUCCAGCUUCAUACCGUGUUAACUUCUAUAAAGUGUUAUUGUUAAAUGCUUUCUGCUGCAAAGUUUGAUUUUUGAAAUGCUGUAUCAUGCCAUUUGUAGUGGGAUUUUUCUCAUCCACCCCCCCCCCCCCCCCCCCCCCCCAAGUGGUUCAUGUUCAAGAUUCAUGUUUUACAUGUGAAAACUGUUGGGGAGUUCCACCUUUUGGGGAGUUACCUUUUUUUGGUUGCUUCUUUAGACUUUACGCAAAAUGCUCCAUUGUUUUGUUUUCAAUGCAGCCACCAUCUUGAGCAAUGAUGUAUUGUUUGCAAACAAACAAAAGUUCGUUCAUUGAUUUUUCAGAAGCUAUAAAACUGGUUUCAAACAGUUGCUUCAAAUUAAUUGAUUAGUUCAAAACUUUUAAACAAGCAAAUUCUGGCUGUAAUUCUCUCUGAGUUCAUGUGUUAAGAACUGCAGUGCAUUCUUUUGCAUAAGAGUUUAUUCUUUUGUUAAACAUAUCUUGUGUGUGUUCAAAACACUCAUGGCAAUUUCCUGACCUAUUUCUAUUGCUGAUUAUAGUGGCUGAUUUUUAACAUGCCCCAAAACUACCAGCAAAGUGUUCGCUAGGUUGAGUUAUUUGGCGAAUUCAGUACACAGGAAUCCGUUUUGGGCUCAAUUUGCGAGGAAAUACCUGCAAACAAAUGACUGCAUGAUGUGAUCACAUUUGCAUGCUUACUGUUGCUGUAUCAUGCAAAGUGAAAAAGCUGCUAAUGCAAGUUUUAAGAUGAAAUCCACCACACUAAUGUAUAAUUGCAAUGUUUUUAAUAAAAUGUGAAGUCGGUAAUUGAUUUGAUUUUAGACUUUUUGCUUAAUGGAUAUAAUUUUUAUUCCUGAUCAGUGUCUCAAUAUGUAUUGGAAUGUGCAGAUAAUUAUGCCGAGAUCUGUAUCAAAUGUUGUUUACAUCUUUGCAUCUUUGAAUUUUUGACUCUUCAACAAUUUAUGACAAUCUAUUUAGGAGCAAAUGGCAUUCAAGGAAUUUCUAAACAAAUUUUUCUAGUUUUAAAAGGAUCAGUGCUCAUCUGUAUUUAAG